GACGAACGCUGGCGGCGUGCUUAACACAUGCAAGUCGAACGGUGAAGCGAGUGCUUGCACUCGUGGAUCAGUGGCGAACGGGUGAGUAACACGUGAGUAACCUGCCCAUCACUCUGGGAUAAGCACUGGAAACGGUGUCUAAUACUGGAUACGACCAACCCUUGCAUGGGGUGUUGGUGGAAAGAUUUAUCGGUGAUGGAUGGACUCGCGGCCUAUCAGCUUGUUGGCGGGGUAAUGGCCCACUAAGGCGACGACGGGUAGCCGGCCUGAGAGGGUGACCGGCCACACUGGGACUGAGACACGGCCCAGACUCCUACGGGAGGCAGCAGUGGGGAAUAUUGCACAAUGGGCGAAAGCCUGAUGCAGCGACGCCGCGUGAGGGAUGACGGCCUUCGGGUUGUAAACCUCUUUCAGCAGGGAAGAAGCGAAAGUGACGGUACCUGCAGAAGAAGCACCGGCUAACUACGUG
rnacentral:rRNA from 1 species